rnacentral:rRNA from 1 species
GAGGAAUAGCCUUUAGAAAUGAAGAUUAAUGCCUCAUGGUAUUGUAGACUGGCAUCAGUUUAUAAUUAAAGAUUUAUCGGUAAAAGAUGGCUAUGCGUCCUAUUAGUUAGUUGGUAAGGUAACGGCUUACCAAGACAGCGAUAGGUAGGGGUCCUGAGAGGGAGAUCCCCCACACUGGUACUGAGACACGGACCAGACUCCUACGGGAGGCAGCAGUGAGGAAUAUUGGACAAUGGAGGAGACUCUGAUCCAGCCAUGCCGCGUGUAGGAAGAAUGCCCUAUGGGUUGUAAACUACUUUUAUACAGGAAGAAACACUGGUAUGUAUACCAGCUUGACGGUACUGU